AUUGAAACAUCAGUUCCUGUAUAAACAACAAAGCUAAGCAACAUUGAGCCUGGACAGUACUUAGAUGGGUGACCUUUUGGGAGCAACAGGUGCUGUAA